UUCUUGUUUGGAACUUAUUGAGCGAUUGUACGAUUAUGCGAUUUUUUCGGUUAAUUUUAAAUAAGUUUCAAAGACAUUUUCGUGAUCCUCUACUUUCUUGUUGUCAAUUUCUACUAAAAGAUCCCAAAUGGUCUGAAAGGACGAAGACUUCGUAUAAUACUGCUUUGCCGCCGAUUCUCUGCGGUGCUCAUGCGCAAUGACAGGUAUUACAUCACAAUACAAUACAAAUUUCUUUUAUUAAAAACAUGUAAAAACAAAAAAAAGUAAUAAUUUUUAAUUGAUAAAAAUACAAAAAAAAGAAGAAAAUAUUUAUGUAAAUUAUUUAAUUCUCUUAAUAUCGUACAGUUUAUAUGUGUAAGGUUUAUAAUAGACGCGCAUGCGCAGAAGUGAAUUGUAUUUUGAAAGUGUAAUCGUUAGAAUAACUGCCACGAAAAUAUCUGUAUUAAUAAAUAACAUUUACUGCUUUAAAAUAAUUAUACAAAUAAAGUAAUCUAAGCUUUAUUAUCUGCAUUCAUCUUCUCCUGGCUUCAUCGUCGUCAUUUACUCGAAAGUAGAUUAUCGAGGUCAUCAGUUUCCAAUAAACAGAAAAUCACACUAAUUGCGAUCAAGUUCAAGUGAUUCUGAUUUUUUUCAACAAAACUCAUAGAAAGAUGUAUCAAAAUAAUUAUGAAGUUUAAUUAGAACAAAUGCAGAAUAUAUUCAGGGUUACUUCAAUUUCUGUCAACCAUCAAUGAUGCAACUUUGUGAAAGAAUAGACUGAAUUGUGAAAUAUUGGUUUGUCAUAGAUAAUUCAUCUAACAUUUCUACUAAAUACAACCAAAAUAUCAGUAUUCUUGUGAUAAGGAUUAAUUUAGAAUUAAUAACAAUUGACAAUUAAUAAGAAUUUUCAGAUUUCUCGAAGAAAUGACGACCACGAUCCGAAAGGUGCCAGUAAUUUCUACAAAUCGAUGAGAUUGGAUUGAAUGUAAUUGGAAAUUUUAAUCGCUUCAGCUAAUUAAAGGCGUCUACGAUCUGAUCUUACGUAAUUGCUUUACUGAACUAAUAGUGAUAGUUUUUAGAAGCACUACUCCACCUAGGACAAUCUCUGAUUCGUUGAAAAUCACAUGUCUUAUCUUAUUAUCGUAUUUCACAAGUUAGCAAUGGAACUUUUGAACACAGACAUGUUAAUUAGAAAGAAGAAAAGAAAUGAUUUAAUCAGCUGAUAUUGAAAAAUAAAAUCAUGGUAAAAUUUGUCCAAUUAUACAGUAACAGAUGAAGCGACAGUUGUAAGUAAAUUUACAAUAAGGAUAAAAAUUUGAACGUGAAGAGAAUGUAGUUUCUCAAGUGGAAGGUCGAACAUGAUCACUGAAUGUUGAAAGGUUAAUGACUACUCGCGCAUGUGAUGAUGAACAGAUCAAACAUUUAGAGUAUUUUUCAAAUUUCAAUUAUAGAAUAUUUGAGAAAUCAAAAACAUGUUUUACAAACACAAUGUGUAAAUAACUGCAGCUUUGAUAAAACAUUGGUAAAUUUCCA